ACUACUUUUUACAGUUUGCUCGAUCGAAUGUUUGUUGAAUAUUUUGAAUAAUCGAGUAUUGACAAAGUUGAAGAAGUACAACAAAUAAAUGAAGAACCAAGCUGGAUGGACCCAAUUAUUCAGUAUUUGAUCGAGGAAACUCUACCCAAGGACUCAUUAGAAGCCAAAAGAUUAAGGUAGAUGGUUUCGUAGUAUGUGCUGAUGAAUGAAUAAUUAUACAAAAGGUCAUUCUCU
rnacentral:lncRNA from 1 species